CUGAGGUGUCAAACUGCCGUGCACCCAUAAAAGUGUACCCAGAAAUCACUCUCCGUCAAAAUCAAUAGCUCACAAUACUUGUAUGACGUGCUCAACCCAAUCCAACGGCCAGUAUCCUUUGGAUCAUCCCUGGCUUCAACGCAUCCUUCGGACCCGAAAUUUUUAUUCAAUGUCAUUUUCUAUCAUCUCACGUCCAUCCCCAUUCCCCACGCUCCGCUCCGCCUCCCCAACCCCACGCGACGCCUCCUCUCCCCGCCUCCGCCUGCCGUGGGCACCUGCCUCUGCCGCCUCCCGCCGCCAGCCACUGCUCCACGGGAUGGCCUCCGAAGCCGUCACCGCUCCCUGUGUGGCACCGGCUGCGGCUACACCCGUGUGGGAGGGCGCCGCUGCUGCCGCUGCUGUUGCCAUGGCCCCUGGAGGUCUGGACUGGCCGCGGCCGCCAUGGAGUCUUCGGUGCUCGGCCGCCGCCGAGGAGAAGAGGAAGGACGAGUACGUUGGGCUCACUCCACCUUGCUGCAGGUCAGUGUCGAACCACUCAGCCCUGCCUCCGCCGGUUGUGUCGUCGUCAUCCCUGUCCUAGGCCCCGCCGCCUCAGUUCGCCGUGUCGAGGCCACCUAAUCCCUCGGGCCCUCCUAAAUCCUGUUGCAUCACGCCACCGCCGUGAGGUCAACGUUAGUGAAGCGGAGGAUUCGUCCAGAAUUCCAGAUUGAGUCCUUCGGCUGGGAGACUUGGUGAGCGACCUUGCUUCUAACAGAUUGAUUUUCUUGCUUGCUUCUAUUAGAAGCUUAUAUUUUGUAAGGUAUAAACUUAUGGUUAUACAAAGCUAGCUAUUUGACUCCACUAUCAGUUUGAUAAUGCAUAUUUUGUAAUGCAGAGAUAUAUGUUUCAGUUAUGAGAAAUAAUUUCCCAGAAA